rnacentral:rRNA from 2 species
CUUUCAACAACGGAUCUCUUGGCUCUCGCAUCGAUGAAGAACGCAGC